rnacentral:rRNA from 1 species
ACGCCGUAAACGAUGAUUACUAGGUGUCAGGGAGUUAGACUCUUUGGUGCCGCAGCAAACGCAAUAAGUAAUCCACCUGGGGAGUACGUUCGCAAGAAUGAAACUCAAAGGAAUUGACGGGGACCCGCACAAGCGGUGGAGCAUGUGGUUUAAUUCGAAGCAACGCGAAGAACCUUACCAAAUCUUGACAUCCCUCUGACCGGUCGGUAAUGCGACCUUCUCUUCGGAGCAGAGGUGACAGGUGGUGCAUGGUUGUCGUCAGCUCGUGUCGUGAGAUGUUGGGUUGAGUCCCGCAACGAGCGCAACCCUUAUCCUUAGUAGCCAGCAGUAAGAUGGGCACUCUAGGGAGACUGCCCGGGAUAACCGGGAGGAAGGUGGGGAUGACGUCAAAUCAUCAUGCCCCUUAUGAUUUGGGCUACACACGUGCUACAAUGGCGUAAACAAAGGGAAGCGACCCCGUGAGGGUGAGCAAAUCUCAAAAAUAACGUCUCAGUUCGGAUUGUAGUCUGCAACUCGACUGCAUGAAGCUGGAAUCGCUAGUAAUCGCAGAUCAGAAUGCUGCGGUGAAUACGUUCCCGGGUCUUGUACACACCGCCCGUCACACCAUGGGAGUCGGAAAUGCCCGAAGCCGGUGACCUAACCGUAAGGAAGGAGCCGUCGAAGGCAGGUCUGGUAACUGGGGUG